UGGGGAAUAUUGGACAAUGGGCGCAAGCCUGAUCCAGCAAUGCCGCGUGUGUGAAGAAGGCCUUCGGGUUGUAAAGCACUUUUAUCAGGAGCGAAACGCUGUCGGCUAAUACCCGGCGGAACUGACGGUACCUGAGGAAUAAGCACCGGCUAACUUCGUGCCAGCAGCCGCGGUAAUACGAAGGGUGCAAGCGUUAAUCGGAAUUACUGGGCGUAAAGCGUGCGUAGGCGGUUUCUUAAGUCUGCUGUGAAAUCCCCGGGCUCAACCUGGGAAUGGCAGUGGAUACUGGGAGGCUAGAGUGUGUCAGAGGGUGGUGGAAUUCCCGGUGUAGCGGUGAAGUGCGUAGAGAUCGGGAGGAACAUCAGUGGCGAAGGCGGCCACCUGGGACAACACUGACGCUGAGGCACGAAAGCGUGGGGAGCAAACAGGAUUAGAUACCCUGGUAGUCCACGCCCUAAACGAUGCGAACUGGAUGUUGUCUCAACUCGGAGAUCAGUGUCGAAGCUAACGCGUUAAGUUCGCCGCCUGGGGAGUACGGUCGCAAGACUGAAACUUAAAUGAAUUGACGGGGUCAUAGCUGUUUCCUG
rnacentral:rRNA from 1 species